CCUACGGGAGGUAGCAGUAGGGAAUAUUGCUCAAUGGGGGAAACCCUGAAGCAGCAACGCCGCGUGGAGGAUGAAGGUUUUCGGAUUGUAAACUCCUUUUGUUAGAGAAGAUAAUGACGGUAUCUAACGAAUAAUCACCGGCUAACUUCGUGCCAGCAGCCGAGAUAAUACGGAGGGUGCAAGCGUUAUUCGGAAUCACUGGGCGUAAAGAGCGCGUAGGCGGGAUAGCAAGUCAGAUGUGAAAUCCUAUGGCUUAACCAUAGAACUGCAGUUGAAACUGUUAUUCUAGAGUAUGGGAGAGGUAGGUGGAAUUCUUGGUGUAGGGGUAAAAUGCGUAGAGAUCAAGAGGAAUACUCAGUGCGAAGGCGACCUGCAAGAACAUAACUGACGCUGAGGCGCGAAAGCGUGGGGAGCAAACAGGAUUAGAUACCCGGGUAGUC
rnacentral:rRNA from 1 species